UCGCGGCUCGGAUUACUUGAACCGGUGACGAAACGAUAACGGCGUCGAGCGGCGGACGGGUGAGUAAUGCCUACGAAAUUGCCCUGAUGUGGGGGAUAACCCUUGGAAACGAUGGCUAAUACCGCAUGAUGCCUACGGGCCAAACAGGGGGACCUUCGGGCCUCUCACGUCAGGAUGUGCCUAUGUGGGAUUAGCUAGUUGGUGAGGUAAGGGCUCACCAAGGCCACGAUCCCUAGCUGGUCUGAAAGGAUGAUCAGCCACACUGAAACUGACACACGGUCCACACUCCUACGGGAGGCAGCAUUGGGGAAUAUUGCACAAUGGGCGCAACCCUGAUGCAGCCAUGCCGCGUGUGUGAAGAAGGCCUUCGGGUUGUAAAGCACUUUCAGUCGUGAGGAAGGUAGUGUAGUUAAUAGCUGCAUUAUUUGACGUUAGCGACAGAAGAAGCACCGGCUAACUCCGUGCCAGCAGCCGCGGUAAUACGGAGGGUGCAAGCGUUAAUCGGAAUUACUGGGCGUAAAGCGCGUGCAGGUGGUUUGUUAAGUCAGAUGUGAAAGCCCGGCGCUCAACCUCGGAAUUGCAUUUGAAACUGGCAUACUAGAGUACUGUAGAGGGGGGUAGAAUUUCCGGUGUAGCGGUGAAAUGCGUAGAGAUCUGCAGGAAUACCGGUGGCGAACGCGGCCCCCUGGACACAUACUGACACUCAAUGCGAAGCGUGGGGACAAACACGAUUAGAUACCCUGCUAGACCACCCCCGUAUCCACGUCUACCUCGAGUUGUGCCUUCCAUCCUGGCUUCGAGCUACCCGUCAAUAGACCGCUCGGGG
rnacentral:rRNA from 1 species